CACACACACACACACACACACACACACACACACACACACACACACACACACACACACACACACAGGGACGCACACGGCGGGAUGCAAAACACACACAGACACACGGAGCCUUUAUGAAGGAUUCAGGGAUUUAAAUGCAUAAUGGUGGAGAUGUGACGAGUGGAUGUGUGUGUUCUAAAGGUGUGUGUUCUAAAAGUGUGUGGUGUGUUCUAAAGGUGUGUGUUCUAAAGGUGUGUGUUCUAAAGUGUGUGGUGUGUUCUAAAGGUGUGUGUUCUAAAGAUGUGUGUUCUAAAGGUGUGUGUUCUAAAGAUGUGUGGUGUGUUCUAAAGGUGUGUGUUCUAAAGAUGUGUGUUCUAAAGGUGUGUGUUCUAAAGGUGUGUGGUGUGUUCUAAAGGUGUGUGGUGUGUUCUAAAGGUGUGUGUUCUAAAGGUGUGUGGUGUGUUCUAAAGGUGUGUGUUCUAAAGGUGUGUGUUGUGUUCUAAAGGUGUGUGUUCUAAAGGUGUGUGUUCUAAAGGUGUGUGUUCUAAAGUUGUGUGGUGUGUUCUAAAGGUGUGUGUUCUAAAGAUGUGUGGUGUGUUCUAAAGGUGUGUGUUCUAAAGGUGUGUGUUCUAAAGGUGUGUUGUGUGUUCUAAAGGUGUGUGUUCUAAAGGUGUGUGUUCUAAAGGUGUGUGGUGUGUUCUAAAGGUGUGUGUUAUAAAGGUGUGUGUUGUGUUCUAAAGGUGUGUGUUCUAAAGGUGUGUGUUCUAAAGGUGUGUGUUCUAAAGGUGUGUGUUCUAAAGGUGUGUGUUCUAAAGGUGUGUGUUCUAAAGGUGUGUGUUCUAAAGGUGUGUGGUGUGUUCUAAAGGUGUGUGGUGUGUUCUAAAGGUGUGUGGUGUGUUCUAUAGGUGUGUGUUAUAAAGGUGUGUGUUGUGUUCUAAAGGUGUGUGUUCUAAAGGUGUGUGUUCUAAAGAUGUGUGUUGUGUUCUAAAGAUGUGUGUUGUGUUCUAAAGGUGUGUGUUGUGUUCUAAAGGUGUGUGUUCUAAAGGUGUGUGUUCUAAAGAUGUGUGGUGUGUUCUAAAGGUGUGUGUUCUAAAGAUGUGUGUUCUAAAGGUGUGUGUUCUAAAGAUGUGUGGUGUGUUCUAAAGAUGUGUGUUGUGUUCUAAAGAUGUGUGUUGUGUUCUAAAGAUGUGUGUUGUGUUCUAAAGAUGUGUGUUGUGUUCUAAAGAUGUGUGUUGUGUUCUAAAGGUGUGUGUUCUAAAGGUG